rnacentral:rRNA from 1 species
GAUGAACGCUGGCGGCGUGCCUAAUACAUGCAAGUCGAGCGAACAGACGAGGAGCUUGCUCCUCUGACGUUAGCGGCGGACGGGUGAGUAACACGUGGAUAACCUACCUAUAAGACUGGGAUAACUUCGGGAAACCGGAGCUAAUACCGGAUAAUAUAUUGAACCGCAUGGUUCAAUAGUGAAAGACGGUUUUGCUGUCACUUAUAGAUGGAUCCGCGCCGCAUUAGCUAGUUGGUAAGGUAACGGCUUACCAAGGCAACGAUGCGUAGCCGACCUGAGAGGGUGAUCGGCCACACUGGAGCUGAGACACGGUCCAGACUCCUACGGGAGGCAGCCGUAGGGAAUCUUCCGCAAUGGGCGAAAGCUUGACGGAGCAACGCCGCGUGAGUGAUGAAGGUCUUCGGAUCUUAAAACUCUGUUAUUAGGGAAGAACAAAUGUGUAAGUAACUAUGCACGUCUUGACGGUACCUAAUCAGAAAGCCACGGCUAACUACGUG